rnacentral:rRNA from 1 species
UACGCCGUAAACGAUGCGCACUAGGUUCGAAGGUCUCUGACGAUCCUCGAGCCGAAACAAAAGCGUUAAGUGCGCCGCCUGGGGAGUACGGCCGCAAGGCUAAAACUCAAAGGAAUUGACGGGGGCUCACACAAGCGGUGGAGCAUGUGGAUUAAUUCGAAGCAACGCGAAGAACCUUACCUGGGUUUGACAUGCACGGAUGCUCUCGGUGAAAGCUGAGUAGGCUGCCUUCGGGUGAAACGUGUACAGGUGC